GGAACUUCGCAUAAAGGGGAAGAGGUGCCCUGACUCUGGCACUCCCACCUGGUGAUGACCGACGGAGCGCUGACAGGCACGUCCAGGGCAUGGCUGCUCCCCCGCGCCCCGCCCUCCCCAAACAUCUCUGACGGACGGUUGGCUGCAGCCCAGGAAGCACCGUCGCGCCGCGGCCUGCAUCCCAGCC